UCGGGAAUUUUGCACAAUGGCCGAAAGGCUGAUGCAGCAACGCCGCGUGAGCGAAGAAGGCCUUCGGGUUGUAAAGCUCUGUUGCCUGCGAAGAAGGGCCCUGUCAGGAAAUGGGCGGGGUUUGACGGUAGCAGGCGAGGAAGCCCCGGCAAACUACGUGCCAGCAGCCGCGGUAAUACGUAGGGGGCGAGCGUUGUCCGGAAUUACUGGGCGUAAAGGGCGUGUAGGCGGCCUGUUAAGUCAGGGGUGAAAGACCGGGGCUCAACCCCGGGGGUGCCUCUGAAACUGGCGGGCUUGAGUGCUCUAGAGGGCAGUGGAAUUACCGGUGUAGCAGUGAAAUGCGUAGAGAUCGGGAGGAAAACCAGUGGCGAAGGCGGCUGCCUGGGGAGUCACUGACGCUGAGGCGCGAAAGCUAGGGGAGCAAACAGG
rnacentral:rRNA from 1 species